AACACUGCAUUUUCCUGAAAUACCAAUUCUCCAAUUUUCUUCGGAGACAGUGUGAACAGAUGGAUGAUUUUAUAAUUAAUGCACAACAGGACAUUGUUAGUAUGGUGGUACUGAGGAUACACCUUCAAAUAAAGGUACCAUUCCCUAUGCCGUUUCCACAUUACAGUCAUUUCUCAACAGCUGUGAUAAAACAUGGUGUCACACUCAACGAAUGGUCCUCAGGUCUCCAAGGACUUGUGAACAGACAGGGAAGACAUACAUUUCUAUGGCGGAGGUAAUGAGCAUCUCUCUUCCACUUUCAAUUUUCAAAGUAGUUCCUUGUUUGCCUGUUGAUCCCAAACAAUUCUUUGCAAUGACAUUCUCUCACUUUCAUGGAGCUUUUUAUUUUGUCCCCAGUCCUUGCAAUCCAGAAUAACUAUGGAAAUUCAAAAUGAGCAUGGAAAUAGGAUUUCAAGGUGGUGACAGAGCAGUAGUGAUGAAUGGAAACGAUGAGCCCAGUUUUGAUGUAUUAUUUAAAAACUUCACAGUACUGCCCCG
rnacentral:lncRNA from 1 species